UACGGGGGGGGCAAGCGUUGUUCGGAAUUACUGGGCGUAAAGGGCUCGUAGGCGGCCAACUAAGUCAGACGUGAAAUCCCUCGGCUUAACCGGGGAACUGCAUCUGAUACUGGAUGGCUUGAGAUUGGGAGAGGGAUGCGGAAUUCCAGGUGUAGCGGUGAAAUGCGUAGAUAUCGGGAGGAACACCAGUGGCGAAGGCGGCGAUCUGGGUGGAUACUGACGCUGAGGUGCGAAAGCGUGGGGAGCAAACAGG
rnacentral:rRNA from 1 species